rnacentral:rRNA from 1 species
CUAGCUUGCUAGUAGGCGAUGAGUGGCGGACGGGUGAGUAACGCGUAGGAAUCUACCUAGUAGUGGGGGAUAGCCAAGGGAAACUUUGGGUAAUACCGCAUACGAUCUAAGGAUGAAAGGGGGCCUCUCUUUGAAGCUCUCGCUAUUAGAUGAGCCUGCGUAAGAUUAGCUUGUUGGUGGGGUAAUGGCUCACCAAGGCGACGAUCUUUAACUGGUCUGAGAGGAUGAUCAGUCACACUGGAACUGAGACACGGUCCAGACUCCUACGGGAGGCAGCAGUCGGGAAUAUUGGACAAUGGGGGAAACCCUGAUCCAGCCAUGCCGCGUGUGUGAAGAAGGCUCUAGGGUUGUAAAGCACUUUUAGUAGGGAGGAAGGCUCGAUGGUUAAUACCCAUCGGGAUUGACGUUACCUACAGAAAAAGCACCGGCUAAUUUCGUGCCAGCAGCCGCGGUAAUACGAAAGGUGCAAGCGUUAAUCGGAAUUACUGGGCGUAAAGCGCGCGUAGGCGGCUUAGUAAGUUAGAUGUGAAAGCCCCGGGCUCAACCUGGGAACUGCAUCUAAAACUGCUAGGCUAGAGUAUGGUAGAGGAUGGCGGAAUUUCCUGUGUAGCGGUGAAAUGCGUAGAUAUAGGAAGGAACAUCAGUGGCGAAGGCGGCCAUCUGGACCAAUACUGACGCUGAGUGCGAAAGCGUGGGGAGC